rnacentral:rRNA from 1 species
UACGUAGGGUGCAAGCGUUAAUCGGAAUUACUGGGCGUAAAGCGUGCGCAGGCGGUUUUGUAAGUCUGUCGUGAAAUCCCCGGGCUCAACCUGGGAAUUGCGAUGGAGACUGCAAGGCUGGAAUCUGGCAGAGGGGGGUAGAAUUCCACGUGUAGCAGUGAAAUGCGUAGAGAUGUGGAGGAACACCGAUGGCGAAGGCAGCCCCCUGGGUCAAGAUUGACGCUCAUGCACGAAAGCGUGGGGAGCAAACAGG